rnacentral:lncRNA from 1 species
UCGAGCCCAACACAAAAUCAAACCAUAAUAUUGACUUUACAUAAUUAAAUAUUUAAUCAAAAUAAUAAAAGAUAAUAGAAGGUAAAAAAAAGAGGAAAAAAAAUAAUGUUGCAAUAUGAUGGAGAAGUAUGGUGAAGGGGGGAAAACAUGUAACGACAACUAGCAGAAAAAUCGUGUAUCAUACAAAUUCGAAAUUCCAAAAAACCGAAUAUGCAAUCGAAUAAAAAUUCAAACAACAAAAACCCAAACUUAC